GGAAUGUGAUGCCCUUAGAUGUCCGGGGCUGCACGCGCGCUACACUGACUGGCUCAGCGUGUGUCUACCCUACGCCGACAGGUGCGGGUAACCCGUUGAACCCCAUUCGUGAUGGGGAUCGGGGAUUGCAAUUAUUCCCCAUGAACGAGGAAUUCCCAGUAAGUGCAGGUCAUAAACUCGCGUUGAUUAAGUCCCUGCCCUUUGUACACAACUUCUUAGAGGGACAAGUGGCGUUCAGCCACCCGAGAUUGAGCAAUAACAGGUCUGUGAUGCCCUUAGAUGUCCGGGGCUGCACGCGCGCUACACUGAACUGGCUCAGUGUGUCUACCCUACGCCGACACGUGCGGGUAACCCGUUGAACCCCAUUCGUGAUGGGGAUCGGGGAUUGUAAUUAUUCCCCAUGAACAAGGAAUUCCCAGUAAGUGCGGGUCAUAAGCUCGCGUUGAUUAAGUCCCUGCCCUUUGUACACAACUUCUUAGAGGGACAAGUGGCGUGGAGGGGAAGAGUGGUGGUGGCAGUG